GCACCAGUAGAGUAGUAGUUAACUCAUUUCCCUCCCAUCUUGUGUGGGCGAGGAAGGAAAGGACCUGGGUGCAAAUCCCGGCUGGUGCA